GAUGAACGCUAGCGGCAGGCUUAAUACAUGCAAGUCGAACGGCAAGGACUUUCGGGUCCCUAGAGUGGCGCACGGGUGAGUAACACGUACACAACAUACCCUAUAUUGGAGGAUAGCCUUGGGAAACUGGGGGUAAGUAUUCCAUAGUAUUUAUUGGAGGCAUCUCUGAUAAAUUAAAGAGCAAUCGAUAUAGGAUUGGUGUGCGUCCCAUUAGCUAGUUGGUAGGGUAACGGCCUACCAAGGCUACGAUGGGUAGCUGGCGUGAGAGCGCGACCAGCCACACUGGAACUGAGACACGGUCCAGACUCCUACGGGAGGCAGCAGUAGGGAAUAUUGGGCAAUGGGGGUAACCCUGACCCAGCGACGCCGCGUGAGGGACGAAGGUUUUCGGAUCGUAAACCUCUGUUGUACGGGAAGAAGGAAUUGACGGUACCGUACGAGAAAGCCCCGGCAAACUACGUG
rnacentral:rRNA from 1 species